rnacentral:rRNA from 1 species
AGAGUUUGAUCCUGGCUCAGGACGAACGCUGGCGGCGUGCCUAAUACAUGCAAGUUGAGCGCUGAAGGUUGGUACUUGUACCGACUGGAUGAGCAGCGCACGGGUGAGUAACGCGUGGGGAAUCUGCCUUUGAGCGGGGGACAACAUUUGGAAACGAAUGCUAAUACCGCAUAAAAACUUUAAACACAAGUUUUAAGUUUGAAAGAUGCAAUUGCAUCACUCAAAGAUGAUCCCGCGUUGUAUUAGCUAGUUGGUGAGGUAAAGGCUCACCAAGGCGAUGAUACAUAGCCGACCUGAGAGGAUGAUCAGCCACACUGGAACUGAGACACGGUCCAGACUCCUACGGGAGGCAGCAGUGGGGAAUAUUGGACAAUGGGCGCAAGCCUGAUCCAGCCAUGCCGCGUGUGUGAAGAAGGUUUUCGGAUCGUAAAACUCUGUUGGUAGAGAAGAACGUUGGUGAGAGUGGAAAGCUCAUCAAGUGACGGUAACUACCCAGAAAGGGACGGCUAACUACGUGCCAGCAGCCGCGGUAAUUC